GACGAACGCUGGCGGCGUGCCUAAUACAUGCAAGUUGAGCGAUGAAGAUUGGUGCUUGCACCAAUUUGAAGAGCAGCGAACGGGUGAGUAACGCGUGGGGAAUCUGCCUUUGAGCGGGGGACAACAUUUGGAAACGAAUGCUAAUACCGCAUAACAACUUUAAACAUAAGUUUUAAGUUUGAAAGAUGCAAUUGCAUCACUCAAAGAUGAUCCCGCGUUUUAUUAGCUAGUUGGUGAGGUAAAGGCUCACCAAGGCGAUGAUACAUAGCCGACCUGAGAGGGUGAUAGGCCACAUUGGGAAGGAGACACGGCCCAAACUACUACGGGAGGCAGCAGUAGGGAAUCAUCGGCAAUGGAAGAAAGUCUGGACGAGCAACGCCGCGUGAGUGAAGAAGGUUUUCGGAUCGUAAAACUCUGUUGGUAGAGAAGAACGUUGGUGAGAGUGGAAAGCUCAUCAAGUGACGGUAACUACCCAGAAAGGGACGGCUAACUACGUG
rnacentral:rRNA from 1 species